rnacentral:lncRNA from 1 species
GGGAGGGGCAGGUUCACCCUCAGUCUGUGUGGGCACUGUCUAAUCAGCUGCCAGUGCAGCUAGAAUAAAGCAGGCAGAAGAAGUUGGAAAGAGCAGACUUGCUGAGUCUUCUGGCCUUCAUCUUUCUCCUGUGCAGGAUGCUUCCUGCCCUCAAACUUCAGACUCCAAGUUCUCCAGCUUUUGGUUUCUUGGACUUACACCAGUGAUUUGCCAGGGACUCUCGGGCCUACUACCACAGACUGAAGGCUGCACUGUUGGCUUCCCUACUUUUGAAGUUUGGGGGCUGGCUUCCUAGUUCCUCAGCUUGUGGAUGACCUACUGUGGGACUUCACCUCGUGAUAGGGUUGUAUACCUGCCAUUUUUCUGUCUUCCUGUGACCCUUCUUCAUCUGGAAUAGAGAAAAUCAGCAUGGCAAGAUGUCCUGGGUAUCCUACCUGUCUCUGGUGAAGGAGGAGAAAAUGGUGAUUCCUACAGGGGUGAAGAAAAGAUCAAUUAUCUGCAGCACACACCAGGGUGGUCAGAUUGGAAGAAGGUGCCCACCAAGUGUCUUUUACUGCUGAGAGAAUGAACAAAAGCACACUUUAUAUUAUACUGAUUUUCCAUGAAGGUACUAUAAUCAGAAGAUAAUAAUGUGUUUUUAUUAACUCAUAUCAUAAAUAUAAGCGUUUUGCCCUAUAACUUCUUAGAAUUGCUAUGCAGUGAUGAUAAGUCUUUAGACAGGUUCAUAUUGUCCUGUCAUCUGAAUUUCUCAUCACAGAGUCUAUGAUCCUAUAUAAUACAUUAUGCAGAUGUUUCAUACACUAUAUUAGUUAGCAUGUGCUUUCAUUUAAAAGUGGGGCCAAUGUUUCCCUUUCCUGCAUAAAACAUUUGGGCCUAACUCAAAUGGAUAUUUUCUAAGCCAACCUGGUGACAUGGUAAUGCAUGAAAUUGUGAAGAGUAAAGUACAUAGUAAUUUAUGAAAAGCUUAGAAUUUAUAUUCCCUUUCCUGGAGUACAACAAUAACCCUAAAAAGAAACAAGAAAACUCAUCUUUUCCUCUAGCAAAUUGCAAGUUCUUGGCAAGAGGAAUAUGCACAUUAAAGAAACACAGGGAUAAAGGUCAUCUCCAGUCUGAAAUUACUUAAUAGUCCUGUUUUCCCAAAACAAACAAGAACUCACCCUGCAGAAGGGCUAUGGGAAAGAAGAAAAAACAAUUAUCCCCAUCUUCUAUAGACUUAUCUACAGAGCAGAUGCCAGGUUCCGUCUCAAGCUCUUUCUUCUGCUGGUCCAAACCUAGCCAUUUGUUAGCAAUUUGAAAAGAAGAUUGUAAAGCCAAAUGACAGACAGACACUGUUCGUACUCUGUAUUUAGAAUGGCCCAUUGUUAGUACUAUCCCAUUAUAAGAAAUAAGUUGUCUUUGUGUCCACUUGAAUUAACUAGUUUAACCUCAUUACCUACUUACUUGUUUUUAGACCUUUU